rnacentral:rRNA from 1 species
UUAGCCCUACGGGACGCAGCAGUGAGGAAUAUUGGUCAAUGGACGAGAGUCUGAACCAGCCAAGUAGCGUGAAGGAUGACUGCCCUAUGGGUUGUAAACUUCUUUUAUAUGGGAAUAAAAUGUUCCACGUGUGGGAUUUUGUAUGUACCAUAUGAAUAAGGAUCGGCUAACUCCGUGCCAGCAGCCGCGGUAAUACGGAGGAUCCGAGCGUUAUCCGGAUUUAUUGGGUUUAAAGGGUGCGUAGGCGGGACCUUAAGUCAGCGGUAAAAUUGCGGUGCUCAACGCCGUAGAGCCGUUGAAACUGG